UAAUGGCUAGGCUGGUUUAAUGGAGUGCCUUGCUCAUGCCUCCCCCUUUUGGAACUUAAUGCAGGAUGAUACUGAUGACUGCAGAAAUAAUACCAUUUUGUUAGGUCAAUACCAUGGGCCAUGUUGUUAAGAUUGGGGGCUAGAAGGAUGCUUAAGUCAUGGCUUGCUCAAGCUUAACCAUGUUCAUGGCAUGUUGGCAACAAAAUGGAAAAUCAAGUCCAAAUGGCUAAAUCAAGAUCAAAACUGGAAAUGGAGAAUGAAAACAGAACUAGGAUUAGACAUUUAGUGGUUUAGGAUGGAAAAGAAUUUGGGUUGACUUUGGUCAAAGUUGACCAAAAAGUCAAUUGUUGACCAAAGUCAACAUUUGGUCAACAUGUAAUUUCUUGUAUUUUUUAUGUAAUGAAACAUUUUAUGGAGGAAAAAUCAAUGGAAUUGGUUAAUUUAACAACAUGAA